AACGAACGCUGGCGGCGUGCCUAACACAUGCAAGUCGUGCGAGAAAGUUCCUUCGGGAGCGAGUAAAGCGGCGCACGGGUGAGUAACACGUAGGUAACCUGCCCCCCAGUCUGGAACAACUAGAGGAAACUCUAGCUAAUGCCGGAUGAGACCACGAUCCCUUCGGGGGUUGCGGCCAAAGAUGGCCUCUACUUGUAAGCUAUCGCUGAGGGAUGGGCCUGCGGCCAUUAGCUUGUUGGUGAGGUAACGGCUCACCAAGGCUGUGAUGGCUAGCUGGUCUGAGAGGAUGACCAGCCACACUGGGACUGAGACACGGCCCAGACUCCUACGGGAGGCAGCAGUGGGGAAUUUUGGACAAUGGGGGCAACCCUGAUCCAGCAAUGCCGCGUGAGUGAAGAAGGCCUUCGGGUUGUAAAGACUCUUUUGUCUAGGAGAAAGGU
rnacentral:rRNA from 1 species